AUUCCAGCUCCAAUAGCGUAUAUUAAUGUUGUUGCAGUUAAAAAGCUCGUAGUUGGAUUUCUGGUGGGAGUGGCCGGUCCGCCGUAAGGUGUGUACUUGGUUGUCUCCCGUCAUCCUUGUGGGAACUGCUCUGGCAUUAAGUUGUCGGGGUUAGGGAACACAUCGUUUACUGUGAAAAAAUUAGAGUGUUUAAAGCAGGCUUAUGCCGUUGAAUACAUUAGCAUGGAAUAAUAAGAUAGGACUUUGGCGUCUAUUUUGUUGGUUUGCACACCAAGGUAAUGAUUAAUAGGGUCAGUUGGGGGUAUUCGUAUUCCGUUGUCAGAGGUGAAAUUCUUGGAUUUACGGAAGACGAACGACUGCGAAAGCAUUUACCAAGGAUGUUUUCACUA
rnacentral:rRNA from 1 species